GAUGAACGCUGGCGGCGUGCUUAACACAUGCAAGUCGAACGAUGAAGCCCUGCUUGCAGGGUGGAUUAGUGGCGAACGGGUGAGUAACACGUGAGUAACCUGCCCCUGACUCUGGGAUAAGCCCGGGAAACUGGGUCUAAUACCGGAUAUGACUUCCUACUGCAUGGUGGGUUGUUGAAAGAUUUAUCGGUGGGGGAUGGACUCGCGGCCUAUCAGCUUGUUGGUGAGGUAAUGGCUCACCAAGGCGACGACGGGUAGCCGGCCUGAGAGGGUGACCGGCCACACUGGGACUGAGACACGGCCCAGAGUCCUACGGGAGGCAGCAGUGGGGAAUAUUGCACAAUGGGCGGAAGCCUGAUGCAGCGACGCCGCGUGAGGGAUGACGGCCUUCGGGUUGUAAACCUCUUUCAGUAGGGAAGAAGCGAAAGUGACGGUACCUGCAGAAGAAGCGCCGGCUAACUACGUGCCAGCCGCCGCGGUAA
rnacentral:rRNA from 1 species